GACGAACGCUGGCGGCGUGCCUAAUACAUGCAAGUAGAACGCUGAAGGAGGAGCUUGCUUCUCUGGAUGAGUUGCGAACGGGUGAGUAACGCGUAGGUAACCUGCCUGGUAGCGGGGGAUAACUAUUGGAAACGAUAGCUAAUACCGCAUAAGAGUAGAUGUUGCAUGACAUUUGCUUAAAAGGUGCAAUUGCAUCACUACCAGAUGGACCUGCGUUGUAUUAGCUAGUUGGUGAGGUAACGGCUCACCAAGGCAACGAUACAUAGCCGACCUGAGAGGGUGAUCGGCCACACUGGGACUGAGACACGGCCCAGACUCCCACGGGAGGCAGCAGUAGGGAAUCUUCGGCAAUGGACGGAAGUCUGACCGAGCAACGCCGCGUGAGUGAAGAAGGGUUUCGGAUCGUAAAGCUCGGUUGUAAGAGAAGAACGAGUGUGAGAGUGGAAAGUUCACACUGUGACGGUAUCUUACCAGAAAGGGACGGCUAACUACGUG
rnacentral:rRNA from 1 species